rnacentral:rRNA from 1 species
GGCGGGGGAUGCAAGUGUUAUCCGGAAUCACUGGGCGUAAAGCGUCUGCAGGUGGUUUCCUAAGUCCACUGUUAAACCUUGAGGCUCAACCUCAAAUCUGCAUUGGAAACUAGGAGACUUGAGUAUAGUAGGGGUAGAGGGAAUUUCCAGUGGAGCGGUGAAAUGCGUAGAUAUUGGAAAGAACACCGAUGGCGAAGGCACUCUACUGGGCUAUUACUGACACUCAGAGACGAAAGCUAGGGGAGCAAAUGGG